UGGGGAAUAUUGCACAAUGGGCGAAAGCCUGAUGCAGCAACGCCGCGUGAGUGAUGAAGGCCUUCGGGUUGUAAAGCUCUGUCUUUUGGGACGAUAAUGGACGGUACCAAAGGAGGAAGCCACGGCUAACUACGUGCCAGCAGCCGCGGUAAUACGUAGGUGGCAAGCGUUGUCCGGAUUUACUGGGCGUAAAGGAUGCGUAGGCGGAUUUUUAAGUGAGAUGUGAAAUACCCGGGCUUAACUUGGGUGCUGCAUUUCAAACUGGGAAUCUAGAGUGCGGGAGAGGAAAUGGAAUUCCUAGGUGUAGCGGUGAAAUGCGUAGAGAUUAGGAAGAACACCAGUGGCGAAGGCGAUUCUCUGG
rnacentral:rRNA from 1 species